ACAGGGAUUGCCCUAGUAACGGCGAGUGAAGCGGCAACAGCUCAAAUUUGAAAUCUGGCUCUUUUAGGGUCCGAGUUGUAAUUUGCAGAGGGCGCUUUGGCGUUGGCAGCGGUCCAAGUUCCUUGGAACAGGACGUCACAGAGGGUGAGAAUCCCGUACGUGGUCGCUGGCCUUCGCCGUGUAAAGCCCCUUCGACGAGUCGAGUUGUUUGGGAAUGCAGCUCUAAAUGGGAGGUAAAUUUCUUCUAAAGCUAAAUACUGGCCAGAGACCGAUAGCGCACAAGUAGAGUGAUCGAAAGAUGAAAAGCACUUUGGAAAGAGAGUCAAAUAGCACGUGAAAUUGUUGAAAGGGAAGCGCUUGCAGCCAGACUUGCCUGUAGUUGCUCAUCCGGGCUUUUGCCCGGUGCACUCUUCUAUAGGCAGGCCAGCAUCAGUUUGGGCGGUUGGAUAAAGGUCUCUAUCACGUACCUCUCUUCGGGGAGGCUUUAUAGGGGAGACGACAUGCAACCAGCCUGGACUGAGGUCCGCGCAUUUGCUAGGAUGCUGGCGUAAUGGCUGUAAGCGGCCCGUCUUGAAACACGGACCAAGGAGUCUAACAUCUAUGCGAGUGUUUGGGUGUCAAGCCCGAACGCGUAAUGAAAGUGAACGGAGGUGGGAACCCUUUAGGGCGCACCAUCGACCGAUCCUGAUGUCUUCGGAAGGAUUUGAGUAAGAGCAUGGCUGUUGGGACCCGAAAGAUGGUGAACUAUGCUUGAAUAGGGUGAAGCCAGAGGAAACUCUGGUGGAGGCUCGCAGCGGUUCUGACGUGCAAAUCGAUCGUCAAAUUUGGGCAUAGGGGCGAAAGACUAAUCGAACUAUCUAGUAGCUGGUUCCUGCCGAAG
rnacentral:rRNA from 1 species